AUUCCGCCCCCCGCCCACCAUUGGCUCAGCCGUUGGCAUGGCAACGCCGUUGCCCACCGCCCCCGGGCGGGCCUGAGGCCUGGGCCUGGGAGCCGGCGGUGGGCGCUGCCGGGCGACUGCGGCCUCACGGCCCGGCAGCCCCCUCCUCGCGAACGGCCCCUCGGCACCGGGAGAGCGGGAGGAGUCUAUUGGCAGGCCUGUACCGGAGAAAUCACUCUCUCCGACGGAAGCAAGUCGUCCGAGUACAGCCAACAGCGCUCGUGUAGGCCCGUCAGCGAAACGCGGCCUUGUCCUCUAACGGCCGUUGUGCCACAGGAGCUGGGAGGGCCGGUGUGACCCCGGGGUGCCGGCACACUGCUUGGUGCCAGGCGGGCCAAGGCACUGGAUUUUUACUGCCUCAUUGGUCUUCAUUUGCCUCAUGUGUCACCAGAAGAUAAGAAAACGAAACUAAAGUUUCUGUCUUCGGCCGACCAGCGCUGGGACUGCAAGACUUUUUCUCAGCAUAAAUAUUAGCCAGCUAUUUGAAGACAUGCUGUCCAUGAAGAAUAUUAAUUAUGUACUAGGAAUCAAGCCAUAAUGUAAACCCAAUUUAUUUGGCAAAAACACCACAUAUUGUUCUGCUCCUAGGGGAAAAGUGUGGGGGUGGGGAAACCUAGCUCCUCCUCAGACGACUGUAUUUGUAAGUUAGACUCCUCGCUCACACUAAUUACAGAAGCAAACCAAAUAAUACGGGAAAACUGCCUUGAUGAGGAUGCCAUGUGGUCCAAGACCACCCUCAAAACCAGAUUUGCUGUUUACUAAUCAGUGAAUGACCGAGCCUGAUGUGAGACAAAGCAGUUUGCUACCCUCCAGAACACACCUGGCUCCCUGAGACUGAGUACUCCUUACGUACCUGAGCAGAUCCAGUAUUUUAGUAUGUUUUUAGUUUGUCUUUACUAGUAGUCUUCAUAUGAAGCCAGUAGUACCUCAGCAAGGUCUACAGGCUGACAGUGAGGAGUUGCCCAUGAGACCUCCAUGCUGAUGGGUUUUGGGGACAUUCUGAGCUCUAAACAAUUCUUGAAACAGCUCAAGACUGGCAUAGAAAUGCCCAUUGAGUCUGUCCUUGGAGUCUCUAUGAAAAGUUCUUUAUUACAGGAACUGUGUUGUACCAGCACUAUGUGCAGAGUGUGGGUUUAUCUAUGCCUGCAAAGGCACGCUUCAUCCAUGUGUUCUUGAAACGACCUCCUAUCAAAGGCACAGCUUCACUGAAAUCAUUAGUUAGAAAUGCCUCUGGUACAGCUAUGCCCCGCUGCUUCUUAUCCCAGUUGACACAGCUGUCAGUUACAGGUUUUGGGUUUUUUUAUAGAUGUAGCUUGGGGUUUUGCUGGUAUAAAAUCCACUAAAAAGCCUCUAGACUAGACCUACAUGUAGCACACUUGACUUGAGAAUCACCAAGAACUUAUAAUUAAAGAAGUUUUGCUGGAUAGUUGUAAAAUUAUAGUACUACAUGAGAAAAUGUAUUAAGGUAAGAGUUUUACAAUGUAAAAUUAAUUCCAAAACAUCUGCAGUUGUACUUGAAAAUACUCAUACUUGUGUUUAUGCUUGAGCUUAAUUUUCUUGGAAGUUUAAUAAAAUGCCCUUAAACUGUU